AGUACCCAAAUAGUUGAUAUGAAAAACAUUUGAAUUUAUGUCUUCCGGUAGAAAUGUCUACUGGGUAGGAUCGCGUUUUGAAAUUUCUUUCCAAGAAUUGGCGUUUUCUUUUCUUGUUUGUUUUUGGUCCGUAUUUGUUCGCUUUUCAUGAACAAUUGGACGGUUGUGUGUAUGUGGGUUUGCGUUGCCAUGGCGGUGGAAAAGUGAGUGUGAUUUUGUUGUCGUUCCCUUCCUACUUCCUAUGGGGGUGGUGAGCUCUCGGUGUUUUUAGGGGUGGCCAUUUUUUCUUGGCUUAUCGUGGUGUUCCUGGGCUGCUUUCUCUCCUCGACGGUUGGUGCAGCUGCAUCAUAUUUUUUUUGGCCUAAGGCGUGGUGGUUCACGUUCUUUAUGUGCAUUUUAUGUCUUUCUUUAUUCUUUUUAUUAAUUGGGUUUCUGUUUUAAUAUUUUUGUAGUUGCUCUUGUAGGUUUUGCAGGUUUUGUCUGAGUUUCUUUUUUUCCCCUUUGUCAAAGAUUGAUAGUGGGAUGACUCGCUCUUGGUGGUUAGGGGAGGAAGUUGUUUUUGGUUCCUUGUGAAGGACCUUAGGUUGAUCUCGUUCCGGUGGAUGAAGCAUCUGGCUUGGUUUUGAUAUGGGCUAUUGGCAGUGGUUCUUCUGUUCGGUCUCCCUUACAGUUUUUCUUUAUCUUGUUUUCUUUUAGCUCUUGUUUUGACUCCAGUUUGUAAAUGGAUUGUUCUUAUUAUUUUGUUCUUGUGUGAUGUUCCUCUUUUGUUCUGGUAGUGUGUUUUGUGAAGUUGCUUGGUUUUGAUUACUUUCCUGUUUAUGUUUUUUAUUGAUGUUGGUUUUUUAGUCCUUUUCUUUCUGUUUUGAGUGAGGGGCUUUCUUCUUCCUUUUCUUCUUGUUUUCUUUGGUGCUGGCCUGUGUGGUUUCUUUGGCUACGGUUGAGGGUGGUGAUCAUUUUGGUUCGUCCUGGUGCCUGCUUGGGCUGUUCUUUCCAACGGUGAGAGUAUUUGGAGCGGGUGGUUUUGCGGGGUGUGGGGAAGACUUUCUUGUUCGCGCGGUCUCCUUUUUUCUGUUUUCUGUUAGGUUUUAUUUUAGUCACAUUUCUCUACUAGUUUUUUUUGUUGUAAAAGGACUUUGAAGGGACUGUUUAAUUUUUUAUUGUGUUUCUUUUCUUCGUGAUUUUAUUUUUUUAUAUGAUCUGCUGGGUGUUUUAAUAAUUUUGCUCAACUGUUUUUCCUGUUAUUGGUUUACUUUUUAUUUUUGGGAUAUUUACAAUUUUAUUUUUUGUAUUAAGGCUUUGUUGCUGGUGUUUUCUUCUGGUGGCGAUGGAAAGUAUUCUGGGUGGUGGGUUGGUUCUCGGAUUGGUGUUUGUCGUUCUUUGUAUGCUACAGGGUCGAGGUACGAUGGUUGAUGAUUUGCAUAAUUUGUUGGCUAAUCUCAAAUUUUUAUAAUCUGAAAAAGAAAAUAUGGUCUGCCAAGGCUUUACUAAAUCAGAUUUGCUGGGAUUUGAAGCAUGGGCUGUUAGAAAGUUUAUGUCCGGGGAAAAGAUUAAUAAAAAAGCAAUGUACUGAGUGCUAAAAUCUCUAUAGUAUACUAAGGAAUCAGAUAAUUUUGUGCCAUUGACGGGUGGUCUUUUCUUGGUGAAAUUUGGUUUGAUUGAUGAUAGGGACAGAAUCCUAAAUUUGGCCCAUUGGAGUUUUGAUCAAAACUUAUUUUCCAUGGUCCCAUUUGUGAAGUGGCAAGAUAUGAGCAGCUACAGUUUCAUUUAUGUGCCUUUUUGGGUUCGUUUUUAUAAUAUCCCAUUGGAAAAAAUGGAUCGCCAUGUGGCUCUUGACGUUGGGAAAGCUAUAUGAGAGGUUGUGGCUAUCGAUUAGAGGGAUAAGGAUGGAUGUUGGUUUGAGUAAAUUAGAGUUUGGGUUAAAAUGGACAUCUUUAAACCGUUGAGGAGGGUGGUUUAUUUGGUUGGGGCCUAUGAUGAAGAGAUCUUGUGUGCUAUCAAAUAUGAACGUCUUCCAACUUUCUGCUAUUUGUGUAGUUGUAUAGGACAUCAUGCUCAUAAAUGUGGUCAGUUUGAGAAGAUUAAAGGGAUUGCAAAUCCAAAAUUUCAAUAUGGGAAUUGGUUAAGGGCCCAAAUUGGGCAACCAAAUGUGGGUAUGGGUAUGUGGCGGAAUGGGAUUGAAACUAUUAUGGUUGGGGAUGAUCAUGAAGGAAAGGGGAAAAGGUCUUGAAGCACAGCUAGAGAGGGUGAUUUUGUGAUGAAGUAGUGGGGGAAGGACAAGACUAGAAUAGAGGACGAAAUCUCGGGUUCUUACUCACCGUUAGGUAAAUGUGUUGGUCAGGAUUUGAGAAAAGGUCUUGGGCAAACCCAGAAUAAGCGUAAACAGAGAAAGAUUGGGAAUGGGGAUGCUAUUGAUGAAAGUCUAGUAAGGAUGGCCUGUAUAAAAUUAUCGGAGGGAAGUUCUCCCUUCAAGGUGGUGGUUGGCGAUCAACCCCUCCCAGAGCUACGAAAAUCUUUUGUUGGAACUGUCGUGGGGGCAAGAACGGUGCGAUAAUUCGCGAGUUGCAGCAACUUCUUGUUGUCAAUGAUCCUGAUAUUGUCUUUUUGAGUGAAACCAAGAUACGUGCAAAUGAGUUUUAGCCUAUUCGGGUUCGAUGGAAAAUGGAUGGUUGCUUUGUUGUGGAUCUAGCUGGUUGUAAAGGGGGUCUUGCCUUAUUAUGGAGGAAUAGGGUAAGCGUGAUUAUUCAAAAUUACUUUGAGCAUCAUGUGGAUUUUAUGGUAAAAAUGUAGGGGAAUGAUCAGAUUUGCUUUGCGGGCUUCUGUGGUCAUCCUGAUCCAAAUUUGAGGCAUGUGUCCUAGAGCACUCUUCUUAGGGUUGGGAUUACGAGUGGGGAUUGGGUGGUGGGGGAUUUCAAUGAAAUUAUGGAUAAUUCAGAGAAAUUUGGUAGGAGGGGUCACCCUAGAGUAUCUCUGGAUAACUUUUGGGAUGUUAUGGAUGAUCUUGCUUUGAUUGAUGUUAAGCCCGAUAAGGGGUGGUUUACAUGGUCUAAUAACCGUGAGGGUAAUAAGGUGGUUAAGAAAAGACUUAACAGAUUCUUGGUUUCGACAUCUUAGUUGGGUCAUGUUUCUUUCUUAUCUGUGUAGGUGUUUCGCCAGACAUGCUCAGAUCAUGAUGCCAUUCUGUUUGAUACUUUGGGUAGGAAACCAAUGGAUGAUAUAAAGGAUUUGAUGCUUUUUUUUCAAUUUGAGGCUUGUUGGGCUAAGGAGGAUGAGGCUAAGGAUUUGAUCAAACAUGUGUGGGAUCAGUGUAAUGGGAAUGUGUUAACUGGAUUUGAUUACAUUUGCCUUCACCUUUAGAAAUGGCUAUUUCGGCAGUUUAAUAAAAGUAAAAAUUGAAUACAGAGUUUAAUUGAUUGGAUUGAUAAACUUAUGGACAGGCUGACACUGGGUUCUAAUAGUGAGAGGUUGAAAGUGUCUCGGGUAGAGUUGGGUCGCUUUUAUGAGGAGGAGGAGCGGUAGUGGGGUUAGAAGUCUUAGAUUCAGUGGCUUAAAGAGGGAGACCGCAACACCUACUUCUUUCAUGUUUAGGCUUCUAGGAGAAAUAAAAGGAACAUGAUUUAGGGUUUGCUUGAUUUUGAGGGUAAUUGGGUUUCCGAUUCUAGAGGGGUCUGUUAAGUGUCUUGGGAUUACUUUCAUUCUCUUUUUAAGAAUGAAGCUUGUGGCAACAUUGAGAGGGCAUUUAAUCUCUCAUUGUAUCACAUCCAAUAUGAAUGGUGCUUUGGAUAGUGACAUGACUGAUAAGGAGCUUGUCGAAACUUUCAACCAGAUGGACCCUUGCAAGGCCCCGGGUAUUAAUGGGCUCUCGAGCCUCUUCUAUAAGGAAAAUUGGGGGAGUUGUUGGUAAGGAUGUGCUCAAGCUUUGUCAUGAGGUUCUAGAUGGGCAUAAAGACAUUAAUGAUAUAAAUGAAACUAUUAUUUUUGUCAUUCUCAAAGUUGAUCAGCCUAAGGAUAUGACUCACUUCCGUCCUAUCAGCCUGUGUAGGGUUAUCUACAAGAUGAUUUCUAAGGUCUUAGCUAAUAGAUUAAAAAAUGCUUUUUCGGUCUGCAUCAGCCAGAACUAGAGUGAUUUUGUGAUGGGGUGUAUGAUUCAUGAUAAUUUCCUCAUCACUCACGAGCUUUUGCAUUCCCACCAGAGUUUUAAAAAUGAGCCGAAUAAAGGGUUUGUGAUCAAGCUCGAUAUGAGUAAAGGUUAUGACCGUGUUGAAUGAGAAUUUUUAGAGAAAGUGAUGAUCCGUAUAGGUUUUUCUGCUUCAUGGGUUACCUUGGUUAUGCAAUGCGUCCGAUUGAUGAGAUAUGUUGUUAAGUGUAAUACGUCCCUCAUGGAUGUGAUUAUUCCCGAGAGAGGGCUUCAUCAGAGAGAUCCGCUUUCGCCCUAUCUUUUCUUGUUUUCUAUGGAAGUGCUCUCUAAGUUGCUUCUGAGGGCCCAGAUGGAUGGGAAGAUUUGGGGGAUUAGGGCCAGUCAGAAUGGGCCUAAGAUUAAUCAUUUUUUUUUUUGCAGAUGAUACUCUCCUUUUUAUCUGUAAUAAAAUGGAGGAGGUUGAGAUUGUUAAGGAUAUCCUCCACUAUUUCGAGACGAUUUUUGGGCAAAAGAUUAAUCCUUCAAAGUCCAUUGUCUACUUCAGUCUUAAUACUCUGAGAGAUCAAUGUAACACCUCUUACCCAUAUUCGACACUGGAAUAGGGUACGAGGCAUUACCGGAGUUUACUAAUUAAUUUUCAGACAUUUCAUUUUUA